UGAGGAAUAUUGGGCAAUGCCCGAAAGGGUGACCCAGCAACGCCGCGUGGAGGAUGAAGGUCGUAAGAUUGUAAACUCCUGUUAGAGGGGAAGAAUAACUAAGUUUGGAGCUUAGUAUGACUGUACCCUCAGAGAAAGCCCCGGCUAACUACGUGCCAGCAGCCGCGGUAAUACGUAGGGGGCAAGCGUUGUCCGGAUUUACUGGGUGUAAAGGGCGCGCAGGCGGAAUGGAAAGUCAGUGGUGAAAUCCUACAGCUUAACUGUAGAACUGCCUUUGAUACUUUCAGUCUUGAGUUCGGUAGAGAGAGACGGAAUUCCAGGUUUAGUGGUGAAAUACGUAGAUAUCUGGAAGAACACCAGUUGCGAAGGCGGUCUCUUGGUCCGAUACUGACGCUGAGGCGCGAAAGCGUGGGGAGCAAACA
rnacentral:rRNA from 1 species